ensembl:lncRNA
ACACACACACACACACACACACACACACACACACACACACACACACACACACACAGCUUGUGUUACACAUUAAACCCCUCCUCCCAUCCCAUCGCAGCUGUCUAUAAUAAUUUUGAUCCUGUCAAAAAAUUAAUUUGGACUGCUUUUUUUGUUGGGUUUUUAGCUGUGGAGGUCAAAGUUAAGUUAGAGUCAACAUGUGACAUCUUGAAUUGACAUCACGUCACAUGCAUAUAAACAUGUAGCAGUGAACCUUCUCUCCUUUGGGUUUCCUGUCGUGAUGUCACCGAGCAGCUAUGCAGUCAGGGCUACUUACUCAGUGGCGGUGGGUGACGUCUAUCAGCCCAGCAGACGGACGGACGGAUCCAGAGUGGAGAGCGCCAGGGAGAGGAGCACGAGAGCAGCGGCGCUCCGGAACAUCUGGACGAGGGAGAGGGUUCGGUCAGAGACACCAAAGUUCAUUACGUUCAACUGCGUGGAAAACCAACAUUUAAGAUAACCCAGGAACAUGGCCAAACAAAGCGUGAGGUAUCCCCCGGACCCGGCGCUGGUUCCUUACCAUGUUGAUAGCGGUAAGAGGGUGGUGUUCCUGAGCGGAGGAGAGGUGGUGUCGGUGUGGUGGAGGUCUGAGGCGCUGAGGAAUGCCUGCUCUUCGCUUCUCCCCCUCCGACGUGACGUGGCCAAUGAGAAGGUCUGUAGCGGGAGGGACGGCUCCACCUCGAGUAGGAGGAACCGGAGGAGGAACCGGAGGUGAAUGGAGGAAGAGAUGACCUGCAUCAUGGACCCCGUCUAGAGCCCCCACAAAACAGAACAGGGAGAUGGAGCAGGGGCACAGGAGACAGAAGCCCUCGUCCACGAGCUGCGUAUCAUCUCCUCUGCCCUGGUCCUAGCGGGGUCUCAGGUGUGAGGGUCACCUGACAGGGGUUCAGCUGUUCAUCUGAUCACAUGAUGAACAAACACUGGUCUCUCGUCAUGAGGAGAGGAGACGAGGAGAUGAGACGAGGAGAGGCGAUGAGGAGAGGAGAUAAGGAGUGCCUCAUCCGUGUACCAACACGGGCCAUCUGCAGGCCCCAGAGUGGAGCUAUGAUGAGCUGCAGUAUGGGGGGUUUCUGGCAGUUUCCCCCUCAGAUGAGCCUGGUUUUCUGGGUUUUCUGGGAGGCUGAGAGGCCCUGAGAGCAGAGCCUGAAGAGACGCCCACGGGCAGGAGUCUGGACGGAGGAGCGUGGAGAUAAGAACGCAGACUCAUGCGGAGACUGCAGGGGGCCGGGAUCCUAGCAGGGAGGAGAACGCGUGGGUGCUCUCUGCAGACCCACUCGCUCCCCCGAAGGGCCCAGCCCACAUAAACACUGUUUCCUCCUACAUUAGUACCUCCUGAGUCAUCAGAAAACAGAGAACAUUGAAUCAUGACGGCACGACGCAGAACCCUAGAGGCGGCCAUUAGUGAGGACAUUCGCUCAUUAACCUGGUAUUUGGAAAACUUCCCCGCAGACGCUUGCACACAAUGUUGUGUUGUUCUGUUGUUAAGAGGGGAUUAAAAAAGGCCAUUACAGCACCCCCUGCUGGCCCAAGAGGCUGCAUUUUCCCCUUUCCUCGACUGCCUGCCCUACCGUCCUAAUCAGAACGGAGUGCGUGAGCGUGAGUUGAUAUGAGGACAUGUCUGUCUCUGGUUUCCUGCUGUUUAUGUCUUGAUGUCUCGCGUGAUGAAUUCACAUCUUUAGUUAAUUGGAGGAUAUUUCAGUAAUUAUUUUAUCCAAGGGACUUGUGGCCGGGAAAACUCUACAUUACCCCGAUUGAAUGUUGAUCUGAAAGGCUUUAUGUUUAGGAGUUUAUGCCAAUAAAAC